GUACGGGAGGCAGCAGUGAGGAAUCUUGCGCAAUGGGCGAAAGCCUGACGCAGCGACGCCGCGUGGGGGAUGAAGCUUCUCGGAGUGUAAACCCCUUUCGACCCGGACGAAACACCCGCAAGGGUUUGACGGUACGGGUAUAAGAAGCCCCGGCUAACUACGUGCCAGCAGCCGCGGUAAGACGUAGGGGGCCAGCGUUGCUCGGAAUUACUGGGCGUAAAGGGUUCGUAGGCGGUGUGGCAAGUCGGGAGUGAAAUCUCUGGGCUUAACUCAGAGGCUGCUUCCGAAACUGCCGUGCUAGAGUGCGGGAGAGGCGAGUGGAAUUGCAGGUGUAGCGGUGAAAUGCGUAGAUAUCUGCAGGAACACCCGUGGCGAAGGCGGCUCGCUGGACCGCAACUGACGCUGAGGAACGAAAGCUAGGGGAGCAAACAGGAUUAGAUACCCUGGUAGU
rnacentral:rRNA from 1 species